GUGGGGAAUAUUGGACAAUGGGGGGAACCCUGAUCCAGCCAUGCCGCGUGUGUGAAGAAGGCCUUUUGGUUGUAAAGCACUUUAAGCGAGGAGGAGGCUACUGAGAUUAAUACUCUUGGAUAGUGGACGUUACUCGCAGAAUAAGCACCGGCUAACUCUGUGCCAGCAGCCGCGGUAAUACAGAGGGUGCGAGCGUUAAUCGGAUUUACUGGGCGUAAAGCGUGCGUCGGCGGCUUUUUAAGUCGGAUGUGAAAUCCCCGAGCUUAACUUGGGAAUUGCAUUCGAUACUGGGAAGCUAGAGUAUGGGAGAGGAUGGUAGAAUUCCAGGUGUAGCGGUGAAAUGCGUAGAGAUCUGGAGGAAUACCGAUGGCGAAGGCAGCCAUCUGGCCUAAUACUGACGCUGAGGUACGAAAGCAUGGGGAGCAAACAGGAUUAGAUACCCCAGUAGUCC
rnacentral:rRNA from 1 species